UGGGGAAUAUUGGACAGUGGGCGCAGGCCUGAUCCAGCCAUGCCGCGUGAGUGAUGAAGGCCCUAGGGUUGUAAAGCUCUUUCACCGGUGAAGAUAAUGACGGUAACCGGAGAAGAAGCCCCGGCUAACUUCGUGCCAGCAGCCGCGGUAAUACGAAGGGGGCUAGCGUUGUUCGGAUUUACUGGGCGUAAAGCGCACGUAGGCGGACUUUUAAGUCAGGGGUGAAAUCCCGGGGCUCAACCCCGGAACUGCCUUUGAUACUGGAAGUCUUGAGUAUGGUAGAGGUGAGUGGAAUUCCGAGUGUAGAGGUGAAAUUCGUAGAUAUUCGGAGGAACACCAGUGGCGAAGGCGGCUCACUGGACCAUUACUGACGCUGAGGUGCGAAAGCGUGGGGAGCAAACAGGGUUAGAUACCCUGGUAGUCCACGCCGUAAACGAUGAAUGUUAGCCGUUGGGGAGUUUACUCUUCGGUGGCGCAGCUAACGCAUUAAACAUUCCGCCUGGGGGAGUACGGUCGCAAGAUU
rnacentral:rRNA from 1 species